CCGGGCGGGGCCGGCCCCUAAACCGCCGACAUUUUUUUUUCCGUUCUUUCUUUUCCGGGCCUGCGGGCCUACUCUCACCCUGUGGUGGACAUAGAUGCCGAGAUAACUCCGUGACGCUUAUUUGCUUGAAUACUUGAUUACUUGAGUACAGUCCUUCCAAGACAGGUAUAAUUGCUAGGCAGGGGAUUGAGUUCCCAUCCUGGGCCAGGUGAUCAGCACUUUUACCCUAACAGCGUGUUUCUGUCAGCGGCAGGGUUGGCAGCCUACAGAGCCUAUUCCUUUGACGUUUUGUUCCAUAAGUGAAGGUGAAGGGAAGAAAUUCAGUCCCUUCCUUCUGUCUGACUCAUCAUGGUGGAGAAGUUUUGACAUCAGAGUCCAGCCCCCCGGAAACGAAGCGCUGUCGCAGAUGCAGUCUGCCUUUAAAAGACAGAAGACAGAAAAUGCAAACAAAUCUUUAGGUAAACGAAAAACAUGUUUCCCUCUAUGUCAUUAACCUGAAAGUCCAUCCUGGGGCUUCCAAGUGAAUAAAGAAAGUACUUCAGUUAAUGAAUGCAGAGGAAGAUCAGGCCAAAAAACUGCACAAGUGGAAAAGACAUUGUGGUUUGGAGGGAGAAAAAAGUGCUUUUAUACCUGGGCUUCAUACAAAACUAUGGGACGAUUUGGAUAUUUUCAUUUCAGAUUCUGGCUGGAAAAUUAAGUCAGCUUCACUGGGAGCAAGACAAACACAUUCUCUACUUUGGAGGAGCAUAUGUGAACAUUAGUGAACUACAAGCUGAAAUAGCUGGUGAGUAGGAGGAGAGAUUUGAGUACCAGCAACUGGAGCAAAGCCAUGAACCGCCAGGACUCAAAUAUCCAGGUGACAGCAACUGGGAAGACCUAGGGAUUUGAGAGCCUGCUACUGGAUAUGAUAUCUAAGAGCAGUUUCUGGAAAAAAGAAAAUGAUGAUUUUGUUUAUGUGCCUAUUCCUAUAGCAACUUUAAGCCUUAUCAGCUGGACACAAAGAACAAGAUGAGGCCAUUUGUUCUAUUCAUGUUUCUGGGAGUGCUAUGUGUUUAGAUGGAUGCUGGAAGAGCAUUAUUUUCUGUAUUUAUCUGUGUGACUGGUCAUGCAUACAAAUAUAUUCAUAGAAAUGCCUAUCUGUAUAUAGAUAUAUAAAAUACACUGGGGUGGGAACACCCCUAUGGAAAAUGUGCUCAGCUUCACUACUGGCUGUUCCUGGGGACACAGAACCACAGCAACCCUUCCUGGGUUACUGGAUUACUGGAUGUAACAGCUUCUAACAGACCAUAAACUAACUUAAGAGAUAAUAAAAGUGCUUCUUAGCAGUCUGGAGGAGGCAAGGAGAGUGGAAAUUAAAUAAAUUAGAAGAAUUAAAAUAAAACAAUUGUGAAAUAAUUAGAAAAUGAUCAUGCAAUAGUAAAUCACCAGCAAAGUGUCUUCAAACUUUAUCCUUUUCUAUGGAGUGCUGACUGCAUUUUUAAUUGCUUAUCUUGUGAUUUGAAGGACAUAGAUGGCUGCUUUAUGAGUGAGGAUGGUAUCCUUCUUUCUUGCUUCCAGGCUGUGGAGGCUGUUCCACAAUUUCUUCUAUUCUCACCAUUCCUUAAAUUUACUCCUGGUCCCUUUUUUCUUCCACAUUUCCUUUGUGUUAGUACUAGCUGUCUAAUAGAUCAGCAGCUUUCAACACAUGGUCUACUUUCUUCACCUGGGGAUUCUUCAGGUGGUGGUGAAAAAAAGCUAGAUGAAUAAAAUUUGUUUCCCAGUGGGUUUUAAAGUUCUUCAAAACCUGUAUU